rnacentral:tRNA from 1 species
ACCUGGCUGGCUCAGUGGGUAGAGCAUGUGACUCUUGAUCUCGGGGUUGUGAGUUUGAGCCUCAUUUUGGGUG